UAAUGAUUGGAAGAAAUAUAAUCUUAUAAAAUCCGUGUUGGGAUGUUUGUGUGGACCAUAUAUGUAAGAAACGGGCACUGCUAGUUGACUUGCAGAAGUGACAUUGCUGGCUUUGGUCAAUUUCUCCUCAAGAGCUCCUCUAAUACAUUACGCCAAGUUUGAGAAAGCUAGAUCGAGGUUGAAGAUCAAAGCUGUUCAGAGGAGUAUAAAAGGUUGUGGUGAAGGAGGAUGCCGACGACACUCGAGAAAGAGAUCUUGCUCCAGCUUCAAUGAACUUAUGAGUAGAUCGGAGAAAGAGCACUGACCUCCAGAGCGCUGACCUCCUCAUCAAACAAGAAGUAUUACUCAAUGCAUCAUUCAUUAGCAGCGGUGAACUCCUCCGAGCUUCAAGCACAAAACAGGAAAGCAAAAACAGAAUUAGAGGAGAAUGGAAAGUAGUACGGACUGUUAGGAAAUGGG